CAAGUAUACCGCAUUCAUUGAUCAAGAUUUCAGUGGUGCUAAGUGUGUAGGUUGCUUUGAUAGGGUAAUUAUUACAGUGUACUGGUUUUAGGAUGACACUGUUCCCAAGUACAGGGAAAUAUACCGGCACGUACGAAGAUGCUGAUUUUACAGAAGAUAAAGCAGAUGUAGAUGUGUCAUCUUCCUUAAGGUCUGAGAAUGAGAAGCUUACUACAAAAGAAGGAAGGUGCUUUGUAAAAAUUAUUACUUUUCUGCCCUAACAUUAGUUGACAUAAAUUCUAAAGCCAAAUCUGUUAUUGUACUGCUUCCUUAUACCUAGUCACCAAUUCUUAUGGGAAUAAAUAACUGCAUGAAAGGUGGCAUGAUUUCAUGCUACUGAUUUUUAAUGGGGGGUAAAACCAACAUUAUCUUCUAAGCAAAACCAUCCCAGUGGCUUUAUGUUAUCUGUGGCUGUGUCAAAUAAUCACUCUUCUUCAGUAACUGAGUCUAUGAGAGAAAUGAGAUACAUGGUUUAAGGACCAAGAUACUAAUUUAUUUUUGUAUAAAUAAGUAGUUUACUUUAUGAAACAAAAACACUUCUGAUGUAUGUGUGUUUUUGCAAAUAAAAUAUUUAUUUACAUUUGGAUUUAAACAUAGAAACAAAAUCAGAAUCUCAAUGAGCAAGAGAUCAUGGGAGAUAUACCCCUGCUUCCCUGAUACCUCUACCUUGCCAAUACAGUACAAAUAAAAGUGAUAAUAUGGAUGUUGAUACUGAUGACUCCAUUUUGUUCUUUUACAAAUGACUACUGUGUAUGCUUUACAAAACAGUCAUUACAAAUUCUGUUAGGAAUAUAAUCUGCAUACUGCAUAUGUGAUCUUCA